UGUUUGGAGUUCUAACCUAGGUCCAUUAUCUGGAUCGGGGACAGUGCAUGGUGGGCAGUUUGACUGGGGCGGUCUCCUCCCAAAGCGUAACGGAGGAGUUCGAAGGUACGCUAGGCACGGUCGGACAUCGUGCUAAUAGUGCAAUGGCAUAAGCGUGCUUAACUGCGAGACUGACAAGUCGAGCAGAUGCGAAAGCAGGACAUAGUGAUCCGGUGGUUCCGUGUGGAAGGGCCAUCGCUCAACGGAUAAAAGGUACUCCGGGNNGCUGUAGCCGGUCCCAAGGGUAUGGCUGUUCGCCAAUUAAAGUGGUACGUGAGCUGGGUUUAAAACGUCGUGAGACAGUUUGGUCCCUAUCUUUCGUGGGCGCAGGAUAUUUGAGGGAGCCUGCUCCUAGUACGAGAGGACCGGAGUGGACGCACCUCUGGUGUACCGGUUGUCACGCCAGUGGCAUUGCCGGGUAGCUAAGUGCGGAAGAGAUAACCGCUGAAAGCAUCUAAGCGGGAAACUCGUUCCAAGAUGAGAUCUGCCGGGGCCUUGAGCCCCCUGAAGGGUCGUCGUAGACCACGACGUUGAUAGGCUGGGUGUGGAAGCGCAGCAAUGCGUGGAGCUAACCAGUACUAAUCGCCCGUGAGGCUUGACCCUAUAACUUUG
rnacentral:rRNA from 1 species